rnacentral:rRNA from 1 species
GACGAACGCUGGCGGCGUGCCUAAUACAUGCAAGUUGAGCGAUGAAGAUUGGUGCUUGCACCAAUUUGAAGAGCAGCGAACGGGUGAGUAACGCGUGGGGAAUCUGCCUUUGAGCGGGGGACAACAUUUGGAAACGAAUGCUAAUACCGCAUAACAACUUUAAACAUAAGUUUUAAGUUUGAAAGAUGCAAUUGCAUCACUCAAAGAUGAUCCCGCGUUGUAUUAGCUAGUUGGUGAGGUAAAGGCUCACCAAGGCGAUGAUACAUAGCCGACCUGAGAGGGUGAUCGGCCACAUUGGGACUGAGACACGGCCCAAACUCCUACGGGAGGCAGCAGUAGGGAAUCUUCGGCAAUGGACGAAAGUCUGACCGAGCAACGCCGCGGGAGUGAAGAAGGUUUUCGGAUCGUAAAACUCGGUUGGUAGAGAAGAACGUUGGUGAGAGUGGAAAGCUCAUCAAGUGACGGUAACUACCCAGAAAGGGACGGCUAACUACGUG